rnacentral:rRNA from 1 species
UACGAAGGGGGCUAGCGUUGUUCGGAAUUACUGGGCGUAAAGCGCACGUAGGCGGCUUCUUAAGUCAGGGGUGAAAUCCUGGAGCUCAACUCCAGAACUGCCUUUGAUACUGAGGAGCUUGAGUCCGGGAGAGGUGAGUGGAACUGCGAGUGUAGAGGUGAAAUUCGUAGAUAUUCGCAAGAACACCAGUGGCGAAGGCGGCUCACUGGCCCGGUAUUGACGCUGAGGCGCGAAAGCCAGGGGAGCAAACGGG